UUAUUUUUCUACAAAUUGGUAUCAGAGCUUUAUGCUCUGAGUGCCGAGUGUGAGAGGAAAACAGUGUGCGCCUGUGAAGGGGAAGAAAGAAGAAAGAGAGAGUAAUGGCAAAGGU